CAGAAACUAAAAUUUUAUUAAUUAGCAAGAUACAAACUCAUGCACAUAAUCGAGUGGAGCACUCACAAGUCACACUGGAAGUGUCUUCCACUCUCACAUAACUACACUGCAAGAACAUAUUGGAAUUAAUUGAAACUAUUACUAUAUAAUUAAACAAUAGUCAUUUUUGGAAUUUUUUUUUUUUUUUAAUAUUUCUCACGCAGGAACGAGCAAUGCAAAUUUCUUAUUAUCUUAAGAAGGUCACAAAGGUUCCACAUGUGAUUACUCAGUAUCCUCUUUAAGGAUGACCUCCUUAAUGAAUCUAUCAAAGUUGCUAUAAGAUACUCCUCCAACACUGGUAGCAGCUUCUGCUUUCUCUCUCCAUUCCACAGCCCUUCUCCUCAUUUCUCUUCCUCUCUCUUUUUCCAUCAUUUCCUUGAUGACACUCACAAGUUCGUCUCUACUUAAAUCAGUACUCAGCUGCAUCCCAGUCUUCCACACAUCGCAUGCGUAUUUGCAAUUUGUUUGUUGCUCGGCAAAGAAAGGCCAGCAGAUCAUAGGCUUACCACCAGAAACACAUUCCAUGGUUGAAUUCCAUCCACAAUGUGAGAGGAAAACACCGACUGAUGGGUGUUGAAGAACACGAUCUUGCGGUACCCAACUUACCAGCAAUCCUCUGUCCUUUACUUCCUCGUAAAACUCCUCAGGCAACACUGCAGAUUCACCCAUCACAACAUCAGGCCUAACAAUCCAUAAAAAUGGAUGCUUGCUAUUUGCCAGACCCCAGGCAAAUUCAUUCAGCUGUUUGUCUGUUAUUGUAGUAACACAGCCAUAGUUUACAUACACAACUGAGUCUGGAUCCCUUUUGUAAAGCCACUCUAGACAGCUUAAAUCCUCUUUCCAUAAGCUGGAUCUAAAUGCCUUGGACCUGCCCUCUGGUAUGCCCUUCUCAAGCAAGGUAAAGGGGCCUAUGGUAUAAAUCUUGGAAUGAAAUCUGGCUUUAAUGGCAUCUAGCACUUCUUGUUCAAACUCAUCGAAUGUGUUGAAAAUAAUUGCAUCAGCUUUCAAAGUCUUGUGUGAUUCUACUGCCAUAAAAUCGAACAUUAUGUCUUUCACAUCAGUGACUCUGAUAAAGCUAGGCAUGUCCCUCAGUUUCAGAGUAGGCAUUCCAGGAAGCCAAUCAAUUGUUUGAUCAAGAGUGCCAUCAUGCAAGAAACUUUCAUCUUUGAAUGGGACGAUGCCUCUUCUGACGAGCUCAAAAUGAUGGAGAUAAGCCAUGAAGCCUGAAGCUGAGGUGGUCUGAAAUUGGAUCUCUGGUAUGCCAAAAUGCUGAGCAGCAUCAACGGCAAAGGCCAUCACUCCAUCUGAGAUUAUGCAAGUAAUUGGAGGCACAUCAGGGGUUUCUUUUAGCUUGGCAAUUAGCUCAAUGAAAGGAGCCAAGCAAUGCUUUCGGGUUGAAUCACUGAGUGAUGGGACAUGUUGGGUGGCGUCACGAUCAGUAUAUGGCAAGCCAUCUGGGAUAGCUUCAAACUUGAAAUCUGGAAGGCCGUCAAUGAAUUCCUGACCUCUGCUGCGAAUUAAGCGUCUAUGAUUAUGCUCAGUGUUCACAAAAGUGAUGUAAAAGCCUCGUGAGUGCAAGAGCUUGCCAAGCUGCAUUAAGGGAUUCACAUGCCCUUGUGCAGGGUAUGGGACAAGAAUUGCAUGAGGUUGAGGCUUUUGGGAUGAGAUUGAACCCAUUUUAUCAAAUCAAGGAAAAUCAAGUAUAAGGACUUGAAGGUUUGGU
rnacentral:misc_RNA from 1 species